UUACCGGUAAUCAAAAAAGCUGGGUUAAAAUACGGUUUUUCAUUAGAGGAAAAAGCAGUCACUCCGAACUCCAAUGAUUAUUACAUCCCUAGAAUAUUAAUUAGUGAUGAUGCUUUUGAGCAUUUAAUUAAGAGAUGGGACGGAUUCCAUGAAAAAGAUUAGACUUGAACUCGUAUAUUUACGCGCUAUUAUAUGUGCAAUUAUUAUUAUCACACAGUUACUUACACAAAUUACUUUAAAACAUGAGAAUAUGGAGGGAGGAUCCUUAGUAUUACAAUUUUACAUUCGUAAUAUUGUGAUUUUUGGUACACCUUGCUUUAUUAUCUUGUCACAGUUACUGACAACCUUGAAUUACCAAAAAGUCACCUAUAGAUACUUAACUACACGCGUAAAAUAUAUACUUAUUCCUUACAUAUUAAUGGGAUUGUUUUACAGUUAUAGUGAAUCAUUAUUAACAGAUUCAAGUUUCAAUAAACAAUUCAUUGAAAAUGUCCUAUUAGGUCAAUGGUAUGGCUAUUUUAUCGUUGUUAUCAUGCAAUUCUUUAUUUUGAGUUAUAUCAUUUUUAAAAUUAACUAUAACCUAUUCAACAGUAAAAUAUUAUUAUUGUUAUCUUUUAUUUUACAGCAAUUAUUUUUAUAUUACUUUACGAACAACACAGCGUUUCACGAUACCGUGCUACACUAUUAUCCAUUAAGUGAAAACACUAUAAUAUUCGGAUGGAUUUUUUAUUUCUUUUAGGUGCAUAUAUGGGUUAUAACUACGAACGUGUAUUAAAUUUCUUAGAACGUUAUUUAGUUAUUAUGAUUGUAUUAGC
rnacentral:sRNA from 1 species